AGAUUGAACGCUAGCGGGAUGCUUUACACAUGCAAGUCGAACGGCAGCGCGGACUUCGGUCUGGCGGCGAGUGGCGAACGGGUGAGUAAUAUAUCGGAACGUGCCCAGUAGCGGGGGAUAACUACGCGAAAGCGUGGCUAAUACCGCAUACGCCCUACGGGGGAAAGGGGGGAUCGCAAGACCUCUCACUAUUGGAGCGGCCGAUAUCAGAUUAGCUAGUUGGUGAGGUAAAGGCUCACCAAGGCGACGAUCUGUAGCUGGUUUGAGAGGACGACCAGCCACACUGGGACUGAGACACGGCCCAGACUCCGUACGGGAGGCAGCAGGUGGGGUAAUUUGGACAAGUGGGGGAAACCCUGACUCCAGCCA
rnacentral:rRNA from 1 species